UGAGUUUUGAUUUUUUAUUCCGCCUUAUGGCAUUAUGCUGGAUCGCCUCCCAUGUCAGCCUAGUGAUUCAAUUUUGCUAUUUCCCUGACGUGUUAUUUAGACCCUCUUUUUUUUUCAAAGAGACACUUUAAACACAGUUACCUACAUUUUGUCUAGCUGCUUCUACGUAACUCGGGGCUAGAUGACUUGUGUUCAGAAAUAAUAAAG
rnacentral:misc_RNA from 1 species